rnacentral:lncRNA from 1 species
CUGGCCUUGAACUCAGAAAUCCACCUGCCUCUGCCUCCCAAGUGCUGGGAUUAAAGGUGUGCACCACCAUGCCCAGCUCUCCUCUCAUUUUCUAUGGUACCUUCACACUUUUCUUUAUCCCUUUCCCUUUUCUGUGUACCUUAUAUAUACUCUAAUUUCUCCAUCUCUCCUCCUCCUCUCCCUCCUCUUCCUUCAGAUUCUUUAAGAGAGGGCUUCUCUGUGUAGCCCUGGCUAUCCUCAAACUUACUCUGUAAAUGAAGUUGGUCCGGAACUGAGUCCAGCCUGCCUCUGCCUCCUGAGUGCUAGGAUUAAAGGCAGAUGCCAUGUAUGCUGCUCAUUCUCCAUCAUAACUGAUAUUCCUGUUUCCUGGUCCCAUCUGCCCUGUCCUGCCCCCUACCUUUCCUCCUCACCCAUUUUCAGUCUUUCCCCCUCUCUCUGGACUCUUCUCCCUCGCCUGCUAGCCCAGUCCUAGUCUCAGAGGAUAUGGGGCAGGAUACCCAGGGCUUGAUGUCCUCCUGGAUCCCUCCCCACAACCAGACCUCUGUCUGUCUCUGGGUCCUAGCCUGGGGACAUAAGGAAUGUGAUCAAGAGUGCUCAGUCCACUUUGCUCCUCUACCUGCCCAGUCUCCUCCUCUACCUGCCCUGUCUCCUUGCUCGUUUCUCUAUCCCCACCUCCUUCUCCCUAGGCUGCCUAGCCCCCCUUUCUGGGCUCUCUGUCCUGUUCUUUUCUGUGCUUGCCCUCAUGGCCUCACUGUUCUUUCUGGAAUCUUCUUUUGUUCUGUUCUCCAUCACUAUUCCCUUUCUUCCUCCAUUUUCUUUACAACCCAGGCUCUCCCACCAGUGCUGUAACACCACCUCCUCCCCUUUCCUCACUGAAACUUAGAAGCUGUCUCCACCUCCCUUAGCAUCUCUGCUGUUUAUCUCCCUUGACCAUUCAGGCCUUUCUUGUCUCCGAUAUCCAGUCUCUCCUCCCCUCUUAUCUAUUCUGACCCAAGGUGCUGAUCUCUCUCUCUCUCUCUCUCACACACACACACACACACACACACACACACACACACCCAACUUCUGACUAAUUCCCUUUCUGGUUGUCCCUCACUCUGCUCUCUCUGUCCCUCACACUCCUGUGGAACUCCUUCUGGUCUUCCUGUCUCUUUCUUGCACUGACUCCCUAUCCUCUCCUGGUGUGUGUGUGUGUGUGUAUGUGCAUAUGUGCACACACAGUAUAGGACAGAGGUCAACCUUAGGUGUUACUCAUGCUUAUUUUGUAUGUUCAUGUAUGCAUAUGGUGUGCUCACCUGUAAAACAUGUGUGAAGGUAGGACAUCAACAUCUCGUGUCCUCUCUAUUGUUUUGCGCCUUAGUUUUUGAACUUGACACCUUCCGAUUUGGUGAGUCUGGCCAGCCAGGAAGCCUGGGAAUCCCCAGCACCAGGAUCACUUACAGGCAGUGUCACUGUGAGGGCUGUAGUGUGGGUACAGGCACUGUCACUGUGCAGGCUGUAGUGUGGGUACAGGCACCUGCCACUGUGUGGGCUGUAGUGUGGGUACAGGCACUGUCACUGUGCAGGCUGUAGUGUGGGUACAGGCACUGUCACUGUGCAGGCUGUAGUGUGGGUACAGGCACUGUCACUGUGCAGGCUGUAGUGUGGGUACAGGCACCUGCCACUGUGUGGGCUGUAGUGUGGGUACAGGCAGUGUCACUGUGUGGGCUGCAGUGUGGGUACAGGCACCUGCUACUGUGUGGGCUGUAGUGUGGGUACAGGCA